AGAGGAAGCCGGUGCGAAUCCGGCGCGGUCCCGCCACUGUCACCGGGGAGCGGUCCCCCAUACCGGAAGUCACGGCACGCGCGAGCGGGCUGGAAGGCCGGGGGAACCGCGGAUCCGGGAGCCAGGAGACUC
rnacentral:ncRNA from 1 species